UUANGGCGAANCCCUGAUCCAGCCAUGCCGCGNUGAGUGAAGAAGGCCUUCGGGUUGUAAAGCUCUUUCAGGUGGAAAGAAAACGCAUAGGUUAAUACCUUGUGCGGAUGACGGUACCAUCAGAAGAAGCACCGGCUAACUACGUGCCAGCAGCCGCGGUAAUACGUANGGUGCGAGCGUUAAUCGGAAUUACUGGGCGUAAAGCGUGCGCAGGCGGUUAUGUAAGACAGAUGUGAAAUCCCCGGGCUCNACCUGGGAACUGCGUUUGUGACUGCAUAACUANAGUACGGCNNANGGANGUGGAAUUCCNCGUGUANCAGUGAAAUGCGUANAUAUGCGGAGGAACACCGAUGGCGAAGGCAGCCUCCUGGGCCANUACUGACGCUCAUGCACNAAAGCGUGGGGAGCAAACAGGAUUANAUACCCUGGUAGUCCACNCCCUAAACNAUGUCAACUANUUGUUCGGUGAGGAGACUCAUUGAGUAACGCANCUAACGCGUGAANUUGACCGCCUGGGGAGUACGGCCNCAAGGUUAAAACUCAAAGGAAUUGACGGGGACCCNCACAANCGGUGNAUGAUGUGGAUUAAUUCNAUGCAACGCNAAAAACCUUACCUACCCUUGACNUGCCAGGAACUUGCCAGAUAUGGCUUGNUGCUCGAAAGANAGCCUGGACACANGUGCUGCAUGGCUGUCNUCAGCUCGUGUCNUGAGAUGUUGGGUUAAGUCCCGCAACGAGCGCAACCCUUGUCGUUAAUUGCCAUCAUUAAGUUGGGCACUUUAGCNAGACUGCCGGUGACAAACCGGAAGGAAGGUGGGGAUGACNUCCAGUCCUCAUGNNCCUUAUGGGUANGGCUUCACACGUCAUACAAUGGUCGGUACAGAUGGUUGCCAAC
rnacentral:rRNA from 1 species